UAGCACAGCUGAGUGGAUUCUCUCGACCUCCAUCAUCUCGAUCUCUUAUCAACCAUGAACAGGGAUGGAUUACGUUAUAACUGACUCGAGAUCCAGUUACAUCUAGGGGAUUUCUUUCUGCAAGAUCAGUCACUGGGUUUCUUUCUGAUGUUUAUUCUCCAGCUGCUGAUGAAGUUGGAAAAAUAUGCUUAAUUGCAGAUGAAAGGGUUCAAGGAGCUGUUUUUGAUCUUCCGGAGGACAUUGCUAAAGAGUUAC